ensembl:lncRNA
UAUUCUCUGUGUCACGCUACACGUCACUCCCUACAUCACCUUAUUAACCAGGUCUCCACACUGGUUGUCUGGAAGUGUUGUCCCUCUUGAGAACUGAACAAGGCUGCUGCUCUAGAGGAACUCCAUCACCACAGCCUGUCUCUGCCAUCGAUGAGUCUCUCCGUUCCCCUUGACGACAACCGCAUUGACGCCAUGCUGUUCUCAAGGCCCUGUGUAGCAUUUCUUUGAGGAAGUGAAACAAGUGGGACAUCAUGAUCAGCAGUCCAUCCUAGCAACACGGUUGCUGUGAACGAUCGCUGAACCAACUCUGUACAAUCCUGUAUCUAUAACUCUGCCCUGCUGAACAAUCUCAUGGUACAUCUCAUGUACAGUACACAUUUUGGUAAAAAGAACAUUGUUUAUUUACUUAUUAAUACUCACCUAUACCAUACCUAUCAAAGGGACUUAUGCUAAUAUUCAGUGGCACAAUGUACUUAUGAAUACGUAUUACUUAUUAUUAUCGAUAGCACUGUUGAUAACUGAUGCUGUGGUGUCUUUAGCCCCGAGGGGAGGAAUACUUUAACAGUCUGAGUUGUGUUUGUAAUUCUAGGUCAUUGACCUGAGGUGCUGUCUGCAGUGCUCUCACACACAGCGUGUUCAAACAGGAACUUCAUUCUGCCGGUGAAGCAGAAACUGCGGCAUUUUGCAGUGUGGCGGGUCAUCCUCUUCGGAGGACAGGAGCCCUAUAAGGACUCUUUCCUGAAGCCCCCGUCCAGAUCUGUGAUGAUGUCACUGGACUUCCGGACAGCGUUCCAUCUUUGGUCCGACGUGGGGCCGUUUCGUCUCCGUCGGUUCUUCCGACGGUUCGGUCAAGAAUGAUCAAUUGAUUUAGACCAAUGAUGUGCAUUUAAAGCUAGCACUAGAUCGGCUCGAUCUAGUCUAGGAAUCCUCUCUGUAUGAAUUAUAUUUAGAUUUGAUAUUCUAUAUCGACACAAACAUUGCCCUGGGAGCCCCUCUCUCUCUCUCUCUCUCUCUCUCUCUCUCUCUCUCUCUCUCUCUCUCUCUCUCU